AACCUUAUGGACCUGCGGGCGUAUACCUGCGGAGGGAUCAUUAUAGAGUUUUCUAAACUCCCAAACCCAUGUGAACUUACCAUUGUUGCCUCGGCAGAACCUACCCGGUACCUACCCUGGAACGAGCUACCCUGUAGCUACCCAGGAACGGGCUACCCUGUAACGUCCUGCCGGUGGACUUCUAAACUCUUGUUAUUUAUAGUAAUCUGAGCGUCUUAUUUUAAUAAGUCAAAACUUUCA
rnacentral:misc_RNA from 1 species